rnacentral:rRNA from 1 species
AAAAGGUGGCUAUGCUACCGCUUUUGGAUGGGCCCGCGGCGCAUUAGCUAGUUGGUGGGGUAAAGGCUUACCAAGGCAAUGAUGCGUAGCCGAACUGAGAGGUUGAUCGGCCACAUUGGGACUGAGACACGGCCCAAACUCCUACGGGAGGCAGCAGUAGGGAAUCUUCCACAAUGGGCGAAAGCCUGAUGGAGCAACGCCGCGUGGGCGAAGAAGGUCUUCGGAUCGUAAAACCCUGUUGUUAGAGAAGAAAGUGCGUGAGAGUAACUGUUCACGUUUCGACGGUAUCUAACCAGAAAGCCACGGCUAACUACGUGCCAGCAGCCGCGGUAAUACGUAGGUGGCAAGCGUUAUCCGGAUUUAUUGGGCGUAAAGGGAACGCAGGCGGUCUUUUAAGUCUGAUGUGAAAGCCUUCGGCUUAACCGGAGUAGUGCAUUGGAAACUGGGAGACUUGAGUGCAGAAGAGGAGAGUGGAACUCCAUGUGUAGCGGUGAAAUGCGUAGAUAUAUGGAAGAACACCAGUGGCGAAAGCGGCUCUCUGGUCUGUAACUGACGCUGAGGUUCGAAAGCGUGGGUAGCAAACAGGAUUAGAUACCCUGGUAGUCCACGCCGUAAACGAUGAAUGCUAAGUGUUGGAGGGUUUCCGCCCUUCA